GACGAACGCUGGCGGCGUGCCUAAUACAUGCAAGUUGAGCGCUGAAGGUUGGUACUUGUACCAACUGGAUGAGCAGCGAACGGGUGAGUAACGCGUGGGAAAUCUGCCUUUGAGCGGGGGACAACAUUUGGAAACGAAUGCUAAUACCGCAUAAAAACUUUAAACACAAGUUUUAAGUUUGAAAGAUGCAAUUGCAUCACUCAAAGAUGAUCCCGCGUUGUAUUAGCUAGUUGGUGAGGUAAGGGCUCACCAAGGCGAUGAUACAUAGCCGACCUGAGAGGGUGAUCGGCCACAUUGGGACUGAGACACGGCCCAAACUCCUACGGGAGGCAGCAGUAGGGAAUCUUCGGCAAUGGACGAAAGUCUGACCGAGCAACGCCGCGUGAGUGAAGAAGGUUUUCGGAUCGUAAAACUCUGUUGGUAGAGAAGAACGUUGGUGAGAGUGGAAAGCUCAUCAAGUGACGGUAACUACCCAGAAAGGGACGGCUAACUACGUG
rnacentral:rRNA from 1 species